UCUGAUUAGCUUGUUGGCGGGGUAACGGCCCACCAAGGCAACGAUCAGUAGGGGUUCUGAGAGGAAGGUCCCCCACAUUGGAACUGAGACACGGUCCAAACUCCUACGGGAGGCAGCAGUGAGGAAUAUUGGUCAAUGGGCGAGAGCCUGAACCAGCCAAGUAGCGUGCAGGAAGACGGCCCUAUGGGUUGUAAACUGCUUUUAUAAGGGAAUAAAGUUAGUCUCGUGAGACUUUUUGCAUGUACCUUAUGAAUAAGGACCGGCUAAUUCCGUGCCAGCAGCCGCGGUAAUACGGAAGGUCCGGGCGUUAUCCGGAUUUAUUGGGUUUAAAGGGAGCGUAGGCCGGAGAUUAAGCGUGUUGUGAAAUGUAGACGCUCAACGUCUGCACUGCAGCGCGAACUGGUUUCCUUGAGUACGCACAAAGUGGGCGGAAUUCGUGGUGUAGCGGUGAAAUGCUUAGAUAUCACGAAGAACUCCGAUUGCGAAGGCAGCUCACUGGAGCGCAACUGACGCUGAAGCUCGAAAGUGCGGGUAUCGAACAGGAUUAGAUACCCUGGUAGUCCGCACGGUAAACGAUGGAUGCCCGCUGUUGGUCUGAACAGGUCAGCGGCCAAGCGAAAGCAUUAAGCAUCCCACCUGGGGAGUACGCCGGCAACGGUGAAACUCAAAGGAAUUGACGGGGGCCCGCACAAGCGGAGGAACAUGUGGUUUAAUUCGAUGAUACGCGAGGAACCUUACCCGGGCUUGAAUUGCAGAGGAAGGAUUUGGAGACAAUGACGCCCUUCGGGGUCUCUGUGAAGGUGCUGCAUGGUUGUCGUCAGCUCGUGCCGUGAGGUGUCGGCUUAAGUGCCAUAACGAGCGCAACCCCUCUCCUUAGUUGCCAUCAGGUUAAGCUGGGCACUCUGGGGACACUGCCACCGUAAGGUGUGAGGAAGGUGGGGAUGACGUCAAAUCAGCACGGCCCUUACGUCCGGGGCUACACACGUGUUACAAUGGCAGGUACAGAGAGACGGUUGUACGUAAGUACGAUCAAAUCCUUAAAGCCUGUCUCAGUUCGGACUGGGGUCUGCAACCCGACCCCACGAAGCUGGAUUCGCUAGUAAUCGCGCAUCAGCCAUGGCGCGGUGAAUACGUUCCCGGGCCUUGUACACACCGCCCGUCAAGCCAUGAAAGCCGGGGGCGCCUAAAGUCCGUGACCGUAAGGAGCGGCCUAGGGCGAAACUGGUAAUUGGGGCUAAGUCGUAACAAGGUA
rnacentral:rRNA from 1 species